rnacentral:lncRNA from 1 species
GUCUAAAUGGUUAAGACACUCAAGCCGAUUUCGUUAAGGCUUCGAGAGAUCCUGGGUUCGAAUCCCGGUCACCCCACCAGGAAGGGCCCUGGUUUACCAAAACCCAUCCACACCUUGGUGGUGUGUAGACCCCCCCUGUGGUGCAGGGUGUCUCUGGGGUACAAGGCUGGAGCUCUGGGCCUGCAACUGGAGAGCUUUCAAGUUCAAGAUCCAAGAUUCAAGUGGAGCUCUGGGCCUGUCAAUGGGAGAGUUCUAGAUGAUCUGUGUGGUCAAGGCAGUGGCUGUAGUUGUCACCUAGCUGUUGAGAACUCCAGUAGGUGUGUGGUGUCACCUGGCUGUUGAGGUUUCCAGUAGGUGUGUGGUGGAACAAAAACUUCUCUUCUCUUCUCUGAUCUCUGGCCCUAUCGAGGUUCUGUGAUAUGAUCCAGGCUGCCUUGGCAGUAGGGUGGUAGUGCGUCUACCACCGCAACCUUGUAAGGAUGACUUUAAAAAAAAAAGACGUCGGAGCAUGUGGUUCGGGAGGUGGUCAGCGAGCUGCGCAGGGUGAUGCAGCUGCGUUUCACUGCCACCACGCUAACCCCUGAAACCCUGUCGGCUCUGCCCACACAGCUUCUCACCGCACAGCUCAAGGCGGCUAAGCUGGAGCACUUUGUUGCCAUCUGGACGGCGGGUGGCGCGCUUUGUGAAGUGGAGGAGGUUCAGGGUGGGUCACCGAAGUUGAACUUGCGGCUGACGCUUGCAUCACCUGUGCAGGCCCCCUAGGUUCCUUUUGGGUGGCGUUUCUUUCCAGGCGCUGGCGUGGCGUAUUAUCGUCAUCAGCUUGUCUGGCGCCCAUGAGCGUAGUACUAGCUCUGGCUGGAGUGGCAGCGCCUGGGCGGCUGUGGGCCUUCCUGCACAGCGCGUCUUGCAGCGGGCUGGAGCCCGCUUAGUCAGCGCCACAUCUGGCCCGUUUAGUUUUCUGCUUGUGUCUCCUCUGCCGGUUCUCCUGGGGUGUUGCUUAAGCAACCGACUUGUGGGGGUGGGGUGGGUUUGGGCGGGGCGAGUGCGUAGCGCUGGUGUUUCCUUUUCUGGCGCGCGGUGGUGGUGGUUCUUGCGGUUAGGCUGUGGUGUAGGUUGGUGCUUGGGUUAGGUUUUGCGGUGUUUAGGUGCUGGUGUACCGGCUGCAACAUGCUUACCUGCCUUGCGGGCUGUACCAGGCGGGCAAGAGAAUUCGUCCACGGGUGACCACGGGGUGCGGGGGGUUGGGGGCGCACUGUCCUCACCCCGCCUGCGGGCCACCUGGCCCGCGGGCGUGGGCCAGCCUGACGCACAUCUUCCUGGAGUGUCCAGCUUAUGCGCAGGCGAGGACGUGGCUGCAGCAGCUGUGGGCCUGCGUUGCGCCCCAGGCAGCGGCGCCGCCAGUGACAGACGCAGGCUUCAUGCUGGGGGACCGCAUGGGUAUGUGGGCCUCAGGCCCGUGGGGGGCGGGCGCGCUGCUGUGGAGCACUUUGCGGGCCACCUUCUUGUACGCCGUCUGGUGUGCGUACUGGUCCCGCGAGCCUGCUAAGCAGGGGUGGGCGGUUCUGCUUCGAGUGGAUAGCGUCAAGGGACGAAUUCGCUCGAGGUCAUGGGUUCGACUCCCAUACACCCCUCCGAUUUCGAUCGGAAUGAAUAGACUACAGACAUGCAGUGGGCUGGACGAGUUUAGGCUUAGUUGAUUUGGCUGGAUUCAGUCCGGAAGGUUUGCUGCAGACUCCAAAAAAUUGAGUAGUUCUGAUUGGUCGGGUGACUGAGCAGGGUCCUAGCACUCGAUGUUAGGAGCAGAACCGGAGGUAAAUGGAGCUCUUACGAGAGCAAGCCUACUACUAGAGUAGGUCGUUGGCGUUGCAGGUGGCACGUCCCUGAGGUCCAGAGCAGAUGUCGCUCGCGACUCGCGUCAGCAAGUCCCUCUUGUAACCAAUGCACGUCGUGGAAGGGGGGGUCGUCUAAAUGGUUAAGACACUCAAGCCGAUUUCGUUAAGGCUUCGAGAGAUCCUGGGUUCGAAUCCCGGUCACCCCACCAGGAAGGGCCCUGGUUUACCAAAACCCAUCCACACCUUGGUGGUGUGUAGACCCCCCCUGUGGUGCAGGGUGUCUCUGGGGUACAAGGCUGGAGCUCUGGGCCUGCAACUGGAGAGCUUUCAAGUUCAAGAUCCAAGAUUCAAGUGGAGCUCUGGGCCUGUCAAUGGGAGAGUUCUAGAUGAUCUGUGUGGUCAAGGCAGUGGCUGUAGUUGUCACCUAGCUGUUGAGAACUCCAGUAGGUGUGUGGUGUCACCUGGCUGUUGAGGUUUCCAGUAGGUGUGUGGUGGAACAAAAACUUCUCUUCUCUUCUCUGAUCUCUGGCCCUAUCGAGGUUCUGUGAUAUGAUCCAGGCUGCCUUGGCAGUAGGGUGGUAGUGCGUCUACCACCGCAACCUUGUAAGGAUGACUUUAAAAAAAAAAAGACGUCGGAGCAUGUGGUUCGGGAGGUGGUCAGCGAGCUGCGCAGGGUGAUGCAGCUGCGUUUCACUGCCGCCACGCUAACCCCUGAAACCCUGUCGGCUCUGCCCACACAGCUUCUCACCACACAGCUCAAGGCGGCUAAGCUGGAGCACUUUGUUGCCAUCUGGACGGCGGGUGGCGCGCUUUGUGAAGUGGAGGAGGUUCAGGGUGGGUCAACGAAGUUGAACUUGCGGCUGACGCUUGCAUCACCUGUGCAGGCCCCCUAGAUUUCCUUUUGGGUGGCGUUUCUUUCCAGGUGCUGGCGUGGCGUAUUAUCGUCAUCAGCUUGUCUGGCGCCCAUGAGUACUAGCUCUGGCUGGAGUGGCAGCGCCUGGGCGGCUGUGGGACUUCCUGCACAGAGCGUCUUGCAGCGGACUGGAGCCCGCUUAGUCAGCGCCACAUCUGGCCCGUUUAGUUUUCUGCUUGUGUCUCCUCUGCCGGUUCUCCUGGGGUGUUGCUUAAGCAACCGACUUGUGGGGGUGGGGUGGGUUUGGGCGGGGCGUGUGCGUAGCGCUGGUGGUUUCUUUUCUGGCGCGCGGUGGUGGUGGUUCUUGCGGUUAGGCUGUGGUGUAGGUUGGUGCUUGGGUUAGGUCUGGCGGUGUUUAGGUGCUGGUGUACCGGCUGCAACAUGCUUACCUGCCUUGCGGGCUGUACCGGGCGGGCAAGGGAAUUCGUCCACGGGUGACCACGGGGUGCGGGGGGUUGGGGGCGCACUGUCCUCACCCCGCCUGCGGGCCACCUGGCCCGCGGGCGUGGGCCAGCCUGACGCACAUCUUCCUGGAGUGUCCAGCUUAUGCGCAGGCGAGGACGUGGCUGCAGCAGCUGUGGGCCUGCGUUGCGCCCCAGGCAGCGGCGCCGCCAGUGACAGACGCAGGCUUCAUGCUGGGGGACCGCAUGGGUAUGUGGGCCUCAGGCCCGUGGGGGGCGGGCGCGCUGCUGUGGAGCACUUUGCGGGCCACCUUCUUGUACGCCGUCUGGUGUGCGUACUGGUCCCGCGAGCCUGCUAAGCAGGGGUGGGCGGUUCUGCUUCGAGUGGAUAGCGUCAAGGGACGAAUUCGCUCGAGGUCAUGGGUUCGACUCCCAUACACCCCUCCGAUUUCGAUCGGAAUGAAUAGACUACAGACAUGCAGUGGGCUGGACGAGUUUAGGCUUAGUUGAUUUGGCUGGAUUCAGUCCGGAAGGUUUGCUGCAGACUCCAAAAAAUUGAGUAGUUCUGAUUGGUCGGGUGACUGAGCAGGGUCCUAGCACUCGAUGUUAGGAGCAGAACCGGAGGUAAAUGGAGCUCUGACGAGAGCAAGCCUACUACUAGAGUAGGUCGUUGGCGUUGCAGGUGGCACGUCCCUGAGGUCCAGAGCAGAUGUCGCUCGCGACUCGCGUCAGCAAGUCCCUCUUGUAACCNNNNNNNNNNNNNNNNNNNNNNNNNNNNNNNNNNNNNNNNNNNNNNNNNNNNNNNNNNNNNNNNNNNNNNNNNNNNNNNNNNNNNNNNNNNNNNNNNNNNUGGGCCUGCAACUGGAGAGCUUUCAAGUUCAAGAUCCAAGAUUCAAGUGGAGCUCUGGGCCUGUCAAUGGGAGAGUUCUAGAUGAUCUGUGUGGUCAAGGCAGUGGCUGUAGUUGUCACCUAGCUGUUGAGAACUCCAGUAGGUGUGUGGUGUCACCUGGCUGUUGAGGUUUCCAGUAGGUGUGUGGUGGAACAAAAACUUCUCUUCUCUUCUCUGAUCUCUGGCCCUAUCGAGGUUCUGUGAUAUGAUCCAGGCUGCCUUGGCAGUAGGGUGGUAGUGC